AUUAUUUUAGGUCAUUAUAAUACCUGUGUGGAUAAUAAGUUUACUUGUACUCUUCUUAUGCGCCUUAGGAAACCAUCCUGCCUUCAGAAUCGAAGAAUAUUCUAGAUUUGAAAAUGCCGUAUUCAGUUCACUUGUUCGCCCUUCCUUUGCAUUGGCAGUCGGUUGGGUGAUAUAUGCGUGUGCCACAAACCAAGGAGGCAUUAUCAAUAGGAUUCUCUCAUGGUCCGUUUUUAAGUUUAUUAACAAAUUUAUAUAUAGUAUGUACUUGCUGCAUCCCAACAUGAUCGACAUUAUAGUUUACUCACAAAAGUCUGCGAUAUAUUUUAGUAUAUUUAAUAUGAUAUUCUGGUUCUGGGGCAUUUUUGUACUGGUUUUCGCACUUUCGAUUGUAUGGGUGCUGGUGUUUGAAAUCCCACCAGUAAUUCUUGAGAGAUUAGCUUUUGCUAAAAUUG
rnacentral:lncRNA from 1 species